rnacentral:rRNA from 1 species
UGGGGAAUAUUGGACAAUGGGCGCAAGCCUGAUCCAGCCACGCCGCGUGAGUGAUGAAGGCCUUCGGGUCGUAAAGCUCUGUGGGGAGGGACGAACCGCCGGUGGUUAAUCCCCAUCGGCAUGACGGUACCUCCUUAGCAAGCACCGGCUAACUUCGUGCCAUCAGCCGCGGUAAUACGAAGGGUGCAAACGUUGCUCGGAAUCAUUGGGCGUAAAGCGCACGUAGGCGGCUUCGCAAGUCGAAUGUGAAAUCCCUCGGCUCAACCGAGGACGUGCAUCCGAAACUGCGGAGCUUGAGUAUGGAAGAGGGUCGCGGAAUUCCCGGUGUAGAGGUGAAAUUCGUAGAUAUCGGGAGGAACACCAGUGGCGAAGGCGGCGACCUGGGCCAAUACUGACGCUG